AUUGAACGCUGGCGGCAUGCCUUACACAUGCAAGUCGAACGGCAGCACGGGAGCUUGCUCCUGGUGGCGAGUGGCGAACGGGUGAGUAAUGCAUCGGAACGUACCCAGUAGUGGGGGAUAACGCACCGAAAGGUGCGCUAAUACCGCAUACGACCUAAGGGUGAAAGCGGGGGACCGCAAGGCUCCGCGCUAUUGGAGCGGCCGAUGUCUGAUUAGCUAGUUGGCGGGGUAAAGGCCCACCAAGGCGACGAUCAGUAGCUGGUCUGAGAGGACGAUCAGCCACACUGGGACUGAGACACGGCCCAGACUCCUACGGGAGGCAGCAGUGGGGAAUUUUGGACAAUGGGGCAACCCUGAUCCAGCAAUGCCGCGUGUGCGAAGAAGGCCUUCGGGUUGUAAAGCACUUUUGUCAGGGAAGAAAUCUUUCAGGCUAAUACCCUUGGAAGGAUGACGGUACCCGAAGAAUAAGCACCGGCUAACUACGUGCCAGCAGCCGCCGUAA
rnacentral:rRNA from 1 species